AAUGAGAUCAAUUAUGUAAAGAUCUAUCUAUGCAGUGCCUUUCACAGAGUAUGCCCACAAAUAAAUGUUACCUGUUUCAUUUUAGUUAUCUAUGUUUAGCUAUCUUUGUGUUUUUUCUAUCCUGCUUCUUCUCGCUCCACUAUACUCUUACAUCCUAAUUCUCUCUCUCUCUCAUACACACAUACUUUGCUGUGUCUAGCACAGUGCUUUGCUUGUGGCUCACACUCUACAUGCUUGUUACCCUGAACUAUUAACAAAAGCAGCUGCUAGUAACAGUUAAUGUUUUCUGACCACCUACAUGAGCCAGGCACUAUGCUAAGUAUCAUCACUUCCUUUAAUUCUCACAAGCUUAUGAGACAAAUACUAUUUUAAUUCUCAUCUAUCGGAAAUUAAAGAUUAAAGAUGUUCUAUAACUUGCCCAAGGUCACACAAGCUCUUAAGUGGAUAGUCAAGAUCCAAACUCAGAACCGGCCUGGAUUUGAAAUCUCAGUUCUUAACUAUCACUGUGUCAGACUGAUUUUGUUAGCUUUUUCCUCCUUUAGACUGGGCCCUAUCAAGGGAUCAGAGAUAAGCAUGUACCCACUCUCAGAUGAGUGAUCCCACGACCUCAAGUUUUGAAGUUCCAGGAAGUCCAGAAGUGUAUGCUAACUCUAGUUUAUAGCUGUUCAAAAGUCACUUGUCUAAAAACUUCAGGGACAUUAUGUAAAACCAUCCAAAAAACAUUAUUGCACACCCCAUAAAGUUAAUUUCACUUUGCAAGAAUGUGUUUGAGGGAGGUGAUGCACUUGGCUAUGUAUUCAGGUUGGUGGCCACAAUAUAUGGAGCUGUGCUGUCAUCCUUGACACUCUGGCUUACUGGCAGCCUCGCUCCAACACACUGUCACAGGCGAGGGAUGGCCUCCCAGUCUUGACUCAGAACACUUAAGCUUCCUAAUGGUCCAAGUCUCACAAACCACACACCUCCCUUAAUUAAAAAAGUAAAUUAAAAGGAGUAUUUCAACUUAGGGAUGAAUUAUCUUAGUAAUUUAAGAUUGACAUUUUAUUGGAUAAAAGGACAUGUAUGAGUUUAUUUUAAAAUACUGCCUUCAUGAACAAGAGACCACAGAAAAGAUUAUCCUGAGGUUGCAAGGCGUUUGUAGAGCCAGAGGACACCCUUGCAAAACAGCCACUGUGAGAGGCCAGUUGCUGCAAAUCACAGGUCAGCCACUUCUACACUUGUCCUUCAAGCACAUCAGCCGGACAUUUGGAGUUUUCUAUAGUCUUCAUUUCAAACUCGAUCAUCCUGAGUGUUGUGGUGGACACUACUAGUGUCACAAAGAGUCCAGCACCCUCUCCUUCCAGGUAUAUAAACGGUGCAUUGCUGGGCUCCUUUGCAGUUGGAUAGGUCAGGUAAUUUGUCUGUUGUGAAGAGUUACUAUGUUUCACUUCUAAGCCGAAGCAUUUGAUUGUCAAUGGAAUACCCUCCAGCUCUCUCCUUCCCUGCAGAAGUAAUCUUGGAAGCAUGUGUUGAGAUGACAGAGUUCCCAAUAGCCUAGAUUCCUGAAUGACUUAGUGGAGCUGAGUCCUCCACAGGUCCAUGUUGGACAUGCACAAUCAGUGAGAAUAAACUUUUGUUGGAUUAAGUC
rnacentral:lncRNA from 10 species